GGAUUAGCGGCGGACGGGUGAGUAACGCGUGGGUAACCUGCCUCAUACACAUGGAUAACAUACCGAAAGGUAUGCUAAUACAAGAUGAUAUAAGAGAUUCGCAUGGAUUUCUUAUCAAAGCUUUUGCGGUAUGAGAUGGACCCGCGUCUGAUUAGCUAGUUGGUAAGGUAAUGGCUUACCAAGGCGACGAUCAGUAGCCGACCUGAGAGGGUGAUCGGCCACAUUGGAACUGAGACACGGUCCAAACUCC
rnacentral:rRNA from 1 species